rnacentral:lncRNA from 1 species
CUCAAACCUCCGCUUAUAUCAGAAUCACUGGGGGCUUGUGGAAACACAGGUAGCUGGGCCCCAACCCAGAGUUUCUGAUGUAGGCCUGGGCGGGGCCUAAGAAUCUGCAUUUCUGACAAGUUCCAGGUGCUGAUGCUGCUGGCGGACGACCACACUUUGAGAACCUCUCUGUCUCCCAAAUCGCUCUCCUGAUGGUUGCCCAAAGACAGACCAGGUCACUCUGCAGAGACCCUGCUUGCCUGACCGGGCACCGCCUCCUCUCAGGGAGCGCGGCACGGCUGAAAGAACCAGGAAGGGCAGGGCCCUGUCUCGUUCGUCUGUCAACCAUUUGCCAGGCAGCUUCCGUAUCUGCUGACCCAUAAAACCCACAGAUGUAAAUGACACACCCCAAUUUCAUAAGGAAACAUUUUUUUAAAAAAUUCAUUUCUUUUAUCAUAACCGUACCAAAAGCUUCUCCUUUUGUUCAGGUAAAUCGAGUAUUACAGGCAGGAAUAUUUUUGUUAAGAAAUGACCAAUAGGAGUCAAUGGGAAGUGAAAUGAUUCUCCCUGCCGUCUGUUUUGUGUUUCCACGCUUCGCCGCCAGGGGCUGGUGUAUUUUUUUUUGGCACUAAAGCUUCCAUCCUCAAAGCUGAUGCUUUGGAUACCAGGUAACUGGUGGAUCCGUGAUACAGACGCAGAUUCAUAUGUGGAUGUGGCUUCAGAGACAGAUAGAGCUGCAGAUACAGACACAGCUGAAGAUGCAGAAGUGAUGUUCCCUAAGGAGAAAGGACACACUUCCUCCCUCCCCUUCCCUCGGCCUAGAAUGUGGAUGCGGAGGGAGCCAACGUGGACACAUCCAGAUGGCAGAGCAACGAGGUGGACGGGGCCUGGGUGCCUAGAAAGCCUCGUGGAGAAAGAUCAACGUUCCAGUCCUGGGCAAUCCUCCCGGGGUCGUCACGGGAGAGAGAAGCCAGCUCCACUCUGACAUGGCUCUGACUAAUACGUCACACACCAUGGCCUCCAGCGGACAAAAAGCUCCUUGAGGCCCCGCUGAGGGGAAAACAGAAAUUCCUGGUGGAUGACACAGGCCCGGCGGCCGCCGGAGAGCCGAGCACGGGACCGGCUGCGCCCCGCCCGCCGCCCGCGGGGCCCGCGCGUCCUCGGCUGAGCGCAGAGCGGCCGGCGGCCGGGAAGUCGCGGCGCCCGCGGAUGGGGAGCCCGCCGUCCCGAGCGCCCGCGGCCGGGAACAGAGCCGGGGACGGAGCCAGGCCGC